GUCGAAGUUGGGGGGAGAUCUCCUUCUACCUGCGCAGAAAAAAAGCCCAUACCAGUAAAAUUGUCUACUGCGCAGGACAGGUUUUCAAUGGAUUUCAACGACGAAAACUAUCGUUUUCUGAUGUCUUGACUAGAAGGAAGGAUGGAAUUGAAACACACUGACCUACCUCAAGGAACUGCUAGCUGUCAUCCUACCAGCUGAUCAUCUGGCAUCGUUCGGCAGGGAAAUAAAGUUAUUUCCCUGUUGAGGUUUAGGUAUAUGAUUUGGAUGAUUUUUUUCCUAUAUCAUUUAUGACGUGUCCAAUCAAGAGUCCAAUGGAAUCUAUUGACAUGACUGGCCUAUUAGGACCAGAAUAAUUUUUUCGACAGUAAUGUUGCUGAACAUUGAGGACAAGGUGUUGCCGAGCCAAGGACACACCGCUGCUUUUAAUUUUUUUUUCUGUUUCAGAUCCAGUCAACAAAAAUAAGGAUAUCCAUAGGUGCCAAGGAAUACCGAGACCAGGAGAAGGAGGACCAGGACCAGGAAGAAGAAUAAUUAUUAUUAAUUGAUUAUUAAUAUUAUUAUUAUUAAUUAUUAAUUUAAUUUAAGAUUAAUUGUAUUUAGUUUUAAAUAAUUAUUUUAUACAGGUGUGAGUGUGAUGAAUGAUAUUAGAAUGAUUUAUAAUUUAAGAUUUUAAUUAAUAUUUUUAUAGAGUAAGAAUGUGUACGAGUGGCAUGUUUUUAUUGCUUGGCAUGUGCUUGCUUGUUUUUAUUUUAUUUUAUUUGGGUUUGAUCGCAUGGUUUGGUUUGUUUAUAUUUAAUUUAAUUUUUUCCCUUUUUCCCAUUACCUUUUAAUUUUAAGUGUGUGUUUUAUUUUAUUCGGGUUUGACUGCAUGGUUUGGUUUGCUUUUAUUUAAUUUAAUUUUACCUCUUUUUAUUCCCAUUCCUUUUUACUUUAAGUGUGUAUGAAUAUAAUUUACUUUAAAUUUAAGUGUAUGAUGAAUGAGUGUGAUUCUAUUUAUUGAGAUAUCCG